rnacentral:rRNA from 1 species
AUGGAGGAGCACAAGCUGAGGGCCAUCCGUCACCUCCUUCAUCGGGCUAACUGCAAGACAACCCUUGCCGAGCUCGUCGCCGCCGUGGACGAGGUGGGCGAUGAGGUGCAGCAGGACGCCUACAUGGACCUGGGCGAAGAGUUUCUCCAAAAAGAUAAACACAGAUGGCUGCUUCUUGCUAGAGGUGAUGAAGACAGUUGCGGCCGUAUAGAGGAAAAGGGGUCCAUUUUCAUGGCAAUGGACUACACGCAUGGUGACCCCGUCUUCAGCAAGCAUGGAAUCCAGCACAUCAAGCCAUUCGUCCAACGCGACAUGCUCAUGGUUGAGAACCAACUCCCAGUGAUGUUGCUCGAGAAGAUCGUUGCAGCGGAGGAAUGCAAACCACCGGCCUCCUCAAGAUUAAAAGUUGGAUGUGUUCGUGCCUCAAGCCCCCCUCCACAGAAUAUCCAUAGAGCCAGGGGUGUGGAGAUAGAGACGGGGACACCGCAUCUUCCCCAUCCAAAUAUGCAUCCGCAGAGAGUGGUGCCACGGUCGGCGUGGAACUUGUCUAAGGCAGGGUUUCGGUUCGUGCCCAGCAGCACUCUACAUGCCCAAGGUACUUCUAGACGACUCGACCGCCUACAAGUUCCACAACAUGAUGGUGUUCGAGGCGAUGCACGUGGGCACCAGGAACGACGUGACGACGUAUGUCUUGUUCGUCAAGGACCUCGUGGAUUCCGUCGAGGACGUGCCCCUGCUGGUGAAGAAGAUGAUCUUGGAGCAUGA